rnacentral:lncRNA from 1 species
GAAACACAAUCUGGCCGCCUAGAGGCUGCGUGAAGCUCGUGACCCUGCGGGGUGACUAACGGAGCUCAGCUGGGUGGGACCAGAAACCACGUCUGGGCACUCCUGAGUCACAGGCUCAGAAGCUUUCGCCUCCGCCUUCAGACUGGCCCUCAGGCUUCCCUGCUCAGAGGCAGGGAAUUGUGCAGCUGGAGUUUCAUUUUCCAAGAGGCAGGGUCUCAGUCUGUCACCCAGGCUGGAGUACAGUGGCACCAUCUUGGCUCACUCUAGCCUCGACCUCCUGGGCUCAAGUGAGCCUCCUACCUCAGUCUCCCAAAAUGCUGGGAUUACAAGCAUGAACCACUGUGACUUGCCUUCUUGGCAAUUUUAAAUGAAAGAAGAAGAUGGAAUAAUGCCUACUGAGGACUAUGUUUGAGGGGUGUUGUAUGACCCCGUUUUCCAUACCCAGCCAACUUGUCAUGUGACAAGUCCACAGAAAGAUGUUAUAUGACAGGAAUCUAUGAACUAGUCUUCCCUGAAAUGUACCUGACUACAGCUAACAUCAUAUCACAUGAUGAAAGACCGCGUUGUUUUCCCCUGAGGUUGGCAGAAUGACUGUCUACAUAGGAAUAGCUCCUCUGCAGAGACAUCUAGAAGAUGCUGAGAUAAUAUAUGUAAAAACUGACAAGCCCUUUGGGACAGAUACCAGCAAAUGCAAGGCGUAUGCUAUGGAAGUUUUAUCAUCCUAACAGAUAAGCCCGUCCCCAACUCCAGUGAGUGACUGAGAGACACGGGCAUGAACGCUGAGCUCAGAUGACAGCAUCUUUUCACAGCAGACCUGGGCCCAGCCCCUGGAAGCACACGAUGAUGAACUGUCCUCUGGUUUCCCAAGACUUCAAAAAUGAAACCCAGUGAUCAAGAGAUGUUUGGCUUUGAACACUGCGGGAAUUAAAGCCAGCACCCAGUUAAAGCCAGUGAGGACAGCACUCCAAGCUGCAGCUGUGGGUGAUUCGGAUGGUCUGUUGGUGGAAUGUGGAGCUGGACGGGUCAAGGAGCACAGUGUGGAAAGAGGGACAAUUUGCUACAAGUUGGAGAUAAGAGACAUGGCAUACUGUGAAACCAGUGCUGACGGAAGAAGGUGACUUUCUUGGAAGGUCAAGACACUUGCUUGACAGCGAUGUCCAGGAGGGCUAGGGAGAGUUCUGCUGGAAGUGAAGGCAGCACCUGAGGGUGGCUGAGGGAACUGGUCAGGGCUGGGAACGCCUCCAGCCCUUUGAGGAAUGAUUCGCUGAUUAAGAGAUGUUUGGCCUUGAAAAUUGCAAGAAUGAAAUCUCUUGGUGGGAAUGUGUAGCCAAAAGCCAGCACCCUGAGUGGCUCCAAGGUUUGGGGACCCUCUCAAGGCACAAAUCCCAGUUCCUUUUCAAUUUUGAAAAUCGUUGUGGGCGAUUCUGGAAUUGAGAAGUGUGCUGAGAGCCAUGGAUUUAACAUGACAAGAAUUUCCGCCCCUUCGUCACUGAGCACACCGCAAAUGCUCCAGGGCCAGGGACUUACUUGGGCUUCUGCGUGUCUUCCACAGUGUGCAUCAAUCCGCCGGGCUCUGGUUGGUGUUUAAAAAAAAAGAUGCAGCGAAGGAAUCUGGUGUGGACAAACGCCCUGGGCAUGGACCAAAAGCCUGGCCCUUGUGUCCCUGGCAAUGGGACGGUGAAGGACAGAAAGACAGCACAUCCAGUAGUGUCAGGAGCUUGGAGCAGGCAUUCGGAAGCAUCUGUUAAAUGUUAUUGAUGGAGGAUUGACAUAACCCACAUCUGCAUAGCUUUUUUGGUCUGUUUUUGGAAGUGAACAGUCACAAACAAAAACAACUUUGGUUCAGGUCAUUUAUAGGCCCAGAUCCUCUAUCCUUAGAGGUUUCCCACCAGAUAUACUAUUUCACUAUCUAUGCCAGGAAAGUUACGUAAAACCACGCAGAAUUUUACCUGACAACGAAAUAGACCUUUUCGUUAGAUCCUCCACCCCACCUAAAGCAGUUACACAGGCUGAAAUGAAACUGUUAAAGGAAUGAACUAACUUGGAGAUAGAAUCAUCGCCUUUGCUGAACACCAUUUUAAGAAUAUUGGAAUAUAUAGGGGUACCAGCAUAAUAGUAAAAUGUGCCCAUAUUAUCUAUAAUUUUAUGCUGGGCACUUUUUAGAAAUUAUUUUUUAUAACUUUGUCUUUGAGAUGAUUUGGCUACAAGUUCAUUACAUUUAGUUUACAACUGGCUUUGAUUUCUUGGCAUUCGUUGUGUAUUAUUAGGAAACCCCGCAGAGAGAAAAUGUAAACUCCAAAUUGCUUUAAAAUAUUAUGAUAGUUUUUAGGGAUAUUACACUGUGACAGUGAAUGAAAUGGACGUAACGUUCUGUUUUGUAGAUAUUUUGUGAAAUCUUUAUUAGUCUUGAUUUUCUUUGGAACAAGUCAUUCCUGUUCUGGGCUGAAGCCUGAAAAUUCCCUGACCUGUGACCCUGGCCCAAGGCUCCUCUUGGAUAAAACAGUGUUUCCUGGACCAGAGGGCAAAGUCACAGAAACAUGAUGUGACGAAAUCUAAAUAGAAAGGUAUUGAUUUGUUCUUCGUUCAUCAAAUAGUUAUUGGACUCCAGCACGUAUGAGUAGCAGGGAGCCUGGCUAGCACUACACCUUCCCCUCCUGCCUCUCAGGGUCAGGGCCACAGGCACACACAGAGCGAGGGAAAAUGAGGGGGUAGAGAGGCUGGUCCCGAGUCUCCAGCCCUUCUCUCCCAAUCCUCUCCCUGAGUGGGCAGGGAACUCUUCUCUUGGCUCCUCCAACUUCCAUCAACGUCUGCCCUUGGGUCUGGUUUUAAACUCUAAGGUGUAAAUGACUCAUAAUGGCUCAACAUUUUGUCCCUCCCAAGAGGUAUUUUUAAGUCUAAGGAAUAAAGAUUUAAUAGUAAAACUUCGAAUGCCAAUCAGGGGUAAGUGAGGAUUUGGAAGAGGAAGGUCUUGAGCAUUUUCCUAACACUGCUAAAAUCAUCCCAUUGAGUUAGGGCAGCAACUAUCCUGAUGGGCUGGGUAUGAUGGAAGUUAGUCAAUGUUUCAAUAGAUGGAUGGAUGGAUGGAUGGAUGGAUGGAUGGAUAGACUGACGGAUGGAUGGAUGGAUGGAUGGAUGGAUGGAUGGAUAGACGGAUGGAUGGAUGGAUGGAUGGAUGGAUGGAUGGAUGGAUAGAUGGAUGGAUACAUAGAUCACCUUUAUUCUGAUCUCAACUGGUCUUUGAAGCUUGAUUCAUUUUUUGAUUUCUCACGGAGCCAGACUAGGGUCUGACACAUUAGGAAGCUGGCAAAAGUUUGUUGACUAAACAAAUUAAUGAAGGGAAAAUUAUGUAUGCAGAGAUGCCUGGGGUUUGGGUUACCGUUUUGGGUCCCCUUUGAUUUGAGCGACACACAUGCUGACAACUUGAGUCUGAAGUUAGUGGAUCCUUAGCUAACUUGCUAGAGUAAAGGUUGUGGUAAAACUUGACCUUGCUCUAUUCAUCAACAGCAUAUCCUGUGAAAGUCACGACGCUUCCAUGAAAACCUUGGUGCUAGGCCUGUGAUAUCUUUGCAGAGGUCUGACCUAAGGAGACUGCUUGUGUCAAUAGUAACAACAAUCACAAUUGUCCUGAACACAAAGGCAGCAUUCUUUGUGUGCUAGCUGUGGUUUUAAGCAUAUUACGUCUAUUUACUAAUUUAAUCCUGAAACAGCCUUUGCUUUAGGUACUCCUAUUAACCUCAUUUUAUGGAUGGGAAAAUAGACUGUGAGAAGUGAAGUCACCCGCCCAAGGUCAUACACCUGUAAGUGGUGGAGGCAGGGUUUGAACCGAGCACACUGGCCUCACUUCGUGGGCUCCUACCACUACGCUGCCUCAUGUUACUACCCUGUAUCCACCUCCAGAAUGAGUUGGCAGCUGCAAGUUCUCCCCAAGGCCCCACUGCAGCCCUUGCAUCUCAGCAUCAGCUCCUUGCACGGCCAGGUGGUGUUGUUUCUGACUCGGGGUCUGCAUCUCUCUCUGCGCCGCUGGGUUCAGGAGGCCCUGAGGAGCGAGCCCGGUCCAGUGCUAGCUUCGCAGCUCACAGCCCUUGGGCAAAUGUUACAACUGGAGGGCUGCACAAAUGCAUCAUGUGGUUUCAAACCAUGCGUCUCUCUGAGCAGGAAUUGCUGGAAUGGGCCUCAGAAAGUUCCUGACCCUUUGUCUGGGGUCACAGGGUCUGUGUCCAGUGAGGCCUAGAGGCCACGUGAGGUCCAGAGAGAGAAGCACAAGGCAGCUGCUGAGGCCUCAUAGGAACCAUGCGGUGAAGGAACCAGGGUUUCUUCUUUCUCCAUGGCAACUAGGAGUGCAGGUCAGCCUCGGAAAAGGAUCCUCCAUCUUUGGUUAAAAGAACG